rnacentral:rRNA from 1 species
CAGUAGCCGCGGGAAUACGAAGGGUGCAAGCGUUACUCGGAAUUACUGGGCGUAAAGCGUGCGUAGGUGGUGGUUUAAGUCCGUUGUGAAAGCCCUGGGCUCAACCUGGGAAUUGCAGUGGAUACUGGGUCACUAGAGUGUGGUAGAGGAUAGUGGAAUUUCCGGUGUAGCAGUGAAAUGCGUAGAGAUCGGAAGGAACAUCUGUGGCGAAGGCGACUAUCUGGGCCAACACUGACACUGAGGCACGAAAGCGUGGGGAGCAAACAGGAUUAGAUACCUGGGUAGUCCCUGUCUCUUAUAC